UUACGUUAUUAUAUCUAUGCUACCAACAAAGCGAUAUGAGAAAUACGAGAAAUUAAAAAAGAAACAAAUCUGACAGAGUCAAAUGGAAAAUCAGUAUGAUCCUCCCAUAAUUCACAUAAAAUUAAUAUCGAGUAAUUCAACACGUGGGCACGUUUACAGAAACAAUUUAAAAAAAUUAGUAACAAAUUGCUUAAUUAUUCAGAGGGGAAUUACAUUAAUGCGAAUUACACCAGGAUGCUAAAGGAUAAUUGAAUCGUGCGGUUUGACCGAAAUGUGUCAGUGCCAUUUCACACGCGUAACGAUUUUGCAAAGAAAGUUUGAUUAUUUUCGUAUGAUUAUUGACGCGAGGAUGUUAUGUAAAACAAAUGUUUUCAGACGCUGUGCCGCAACCGGCACUUUAUUGAUCUUGAUAAUGCGUAUACGAUGACUCAAAGUACACGCAUGUGCGUUUCGUCUGCCGAUAGAGCGAACGGAUAAAAAUAUUUCACCAACAGAAAAGUACAAGACAGUUCUGUGCGCGACAGGUGGUAUGUGGCACGUGGAAUUAUGAAUGAACUGUGAAAAU